UACGGAGGGUGCAAGCGUUUGUUCGGAAUCACUGGGCGUAAAGGGCGUGUAGGCGGCCCGCUAAGUCUGAUGUGAAAUCCCCUCGCUCAACGAGGGAACUGCGUCGGAAACUGGCGGACUCGAGUACCGGAGAGGAAGGUGGAAUUCCCGGUGUAGCGGUGAAAUGACGUAGAUAUCGGGAGGAACACCGGUGGCGAAGGCGGCCUUCUGGACGGAUACUGACGCUGAUACGCGAAAGCGUGGGGAGC
rnacentral:rRNA from 1 species